AGUGAACGCUGGCGGUAGGCCUAACACAUGCAAGUCGAACGGCAGCACAGUAAGAGCUUGCUCUUACGGGUGGCGAGUGGCGGACGGGUGAGGAAUACAUCGGAAUCUACUUUUUCGUGGGGGAUAACGUAGGGAAACUUACGCUAAUACCGCAUACGACCUACGGGUGAAAGCAGGGGAUCUUCGGACCUUGCGCGAUUGAAUGAGCCGAUGUCGGAUUAGCUAGUUGGCGGGGUAAAGGCCCACCAAGGCGACGAUCCGUAGCUGGCCUGAGAGGAUGAUCGGCCACACUGGAACUGAGACACGGUCCAGACUCCUACGGGAGGCAGCAGUGGGGAAUAUUGGACAAUGGGCGCAAGCCUGAUGCAGCCAUACCGCGUGGGUGAAGAAGGCCUUCGGGUUGUAAAGCCCUUUUGUUGGGAAAGAAAAGCAGCAGGUUAAUACCCCGCUGUUCUGACGGUACCCAAAGAAUAAGCACCGGCUAACUUCGUG
rnacentral:rRNA from 1 species